GACGAACGCUGGCGGCGCGCUUAACACAUGCAAGUCGAACGGAAAGGCCUGCUUUCCCUUGUGGAUUGCGGGUACUCGAGUGGCGAACGGGUGAGUAACACGUGAGUGAUCUGCCCCCAACUUGGGUAUAAGCCUGGGAAACUGGGUCUAAUUCCCGAUAGGACUGCAGGGUGGUGCCUGUGGUGGAAAACGAUUUUCUAGUUGUUGGGGAUGAGCCCGCGGCCUAUCAGGUUGGUGGUGGGGUAAUGGCCUACCAAGGCGGGGACGGGAAGCCGGCGUGGGAGGGUCGACGGCGAAAUUGGGACAGGGUCACGGCCCAGACGCCUGCGGGAGGCAGCAGAGGGGAAGCUAGGGGAGUGGGCGGGAGCCUGAUGCGGCGACGCCGCGUGGGAGAUGACGGCCUUGGGGUUGUAAGCUCCUAUCGAACGAGAGGAGGCCACCUGGCUGGAAGGGUGGUGACGGUAGUGGUAGAAGAAGCACCGGCUAACUACGUG
rnacentral:rRNA from 1 species